AUUGAACGCUGGCGGCAGGCCUAACACAUGCAAGUCGAGCGGAUGAAGGGAGCUUGCUCCUGGAUUCAGCGGCGGACGGGUGAGUAAUGCCUAGGAAUCUGCCUGGUAGUGGGGGAUAACGUCCGGAAACGGGCGCUAAUACCGCAUACGUCCUGAGGGAGAAAGUGGGGGAUCUUCGGACCUCACGCUAUCAGAUGAGCCUAGGUCGGAUUAGCUAGUUGGUGGGGUAAAGGCCUACCAAGGCGACGAUCCGUAACUGGUCUGAGAGGAUGAUCAGUCAACAGGGAAAGAAGACACGGCACAGACGAGUAGGGGAGGUAGAGGGAGGAGAUAUGGGACAAUGGGCGAGAGGCUGAGCCAGCCGUGUGGCGUGUGGGAAGAAGGUGGUGGGAUUGUAACACACGGUAGGUGGGGGAGAGUAGCAGUAAUUUAAUACCUGUCUGUAUAGACGUCAACAACAGACUCAGCACCGGAAAACUUGGUGCCAGCACCCGCGGUAAUAGCCGGAAGAGCAAACGUCGGAAC
rnacentral:rRNA from 1 species